CCGAACCCGACCCAAACUCGUAACCCGAUUUACUGAGACAAAACCCGAAAGUGACCCGAAAAUCACCCGUUUUGACACGAAAUGGACCCGACAUGACCCGAAAUUCUAAUUUCGUUUCUAAUAACUUCAAUUUUCAGUUUUAUUCAAUUUUAAGUGAUUUUAGCUUGACCCGAAAUCGACUCGAAAUUGACCCGAUUGCUGACACGAACACGACCCGUUACCCG
rnacentral:lncRNA from 1 species